AGCAGUCGCCGCGGUAAUACAGAGGGUGCGAGCGUUAAUCGGAUUUACUGGGCGUAAAGCGUGCGUAGGCGGCUAAUUGAGUCGGAUGUGAAAUCCCCGAGCUUAACUUGGGAAUUGCAUUCGAUACUGGUUAGCUAGAGUGUGGGAGAGGAUGGUAGAAUUCCAGGUGUAGCGGUGAAAUGCGUAGAGAUCUGGAGGAAUACCGAUGGCGAAGGCAGCCAUCUGGCCUAAUACUGACGCUGAGGUACGAAAGCAUGGGGAGCAAACAGGAUUAGAUACCCGAGUAGUCCCUGUCUCUUAUAC
rnacentral:rRNA from 1 species